rnacentral:lncRNA from 1 species
UCUCAUUUGACCCUUCGUAAACCUAAUUGGUAGGUAACGAAACACAUUGGCGAAGUCGGUUCGGCAAUCCGACAAGCCGUUGCGAAGAUAUUGAAGAAACGGGCGCUCAGAGCUUCGUUUCCGCCUGGGAGGCCGAGGCGACGUCCAUAAAUCGUGAAAUAGGGUCCCGAGCACCGUAGCGGCAAGGCGAAGAUCGCUAGCACUUGAAACGGCGAAGCGGCGAGCUCGAGGGGAGCAACUGUGAGAUCGGGCCCAAACGGGUGCCGAGUGCCGCGGGAGGCCGAUUGCAAGUGUCGACGAGCAAUCAGAACUCGUGUUAAGGUGGGUUGUGCUUACAGAAGCGACUAGGUCGCCCUUUAUGUCUUAGCAAUGUAUCUCCAUGUUGAUGCAUGUGCAUGUAGACGAGGACAAGAAAUGCAUGAUGAAUGAUAAUGCAUAAAGUAAAGGCUAAGUAGAGAAUGCAUAAUAAAUAGCAAGCAUGAUAGCAUGACAUGUAAAUAAUGCUAGCUAAGGUAAAGGAUGCACACUAAUAGUAAUGCAUGGAUGGAAAUGCUAAAUUGAAUGCAUGAUGAACAAAGAUGCAUAGAGUAAAUGCCAAGUAGAAAGCAUAAGUUAAUAACUCUAGUGUGAGUAGAGUUGAUUGGACAACUAGGUUGUCAGGUAGAUCGAGUGGCACCUAACCUAGUGUUAAAGAACAUAGGUUAAACAAGUGAACCUAGAGUCGAACAAUCUAGGUGUGUGGCAUCGAACCUAGUGUUAGUAAACCUAGGUCGAACUAGUAAACCUAGAAGUGGACAACUAGGCCAAGAUGACAAAGACCUAGCAAGUGUAUCUAGGUUAAGUGACGUGGACAUAGAACCUAGAGUCUUGGAACCUAGGUUGAUGAGUAUAGUGGUAUAGCCACUAGGAUGAGUUAGGUCGAUGAUAUAGGGUUUGUUAUGAACCCUCAACCUAUGGAAAGUGGAUUUCGGGAUCCCAGGACUUUUGAUGUCCCUAGUACAAGCUAGGGCGUGUGUGCAACGACUUCGCCACCGAGCUUGGUACUGUGGGUAGAUUGGGCGUGACCACGUGGAGAUCACCGCCCGGGGCUUGAACCAUUGCCGUGGUGUUUGUGCGACGAUUUCGCCGCCAGGAUGGUUAAGCCAUUUGAGGAUCAGACCGCCAGAGCAGACUGAAUCCAUGCUGGGUAAGUACGAUGCGGGUGCCUCCAGGUGGCUAAGUCUGACAUGUACCGUUGUUGGGUGUGGUGCGACCCGUUCGCCGCCAGACGGUGUGUCAGAACCCAAGCUCACGCUGGGUAAGUGCAACGCGAUCGCCACCAGGUGGUCAAGUCGUGCGACUUGAGCCGAGCUUAGCGUGUGCGACGACUUCGCCGCUAGUGGGCUGAGAGCGGUAGGCUGAUGAGCAGCCGGUGCGCGGGCUAUCCGCGGAUGAUUGACUCGAAGCCGAGUCGGGUGGUUAGCUUCGAUAAGGUAGAGGAACCCUUAUGAGCUAGAGAUAGAGGCUUGAGCUAAGGUGAUAAAGACCUUAGGAGCCAGGGGACUCGAGUGUGAAUCUAAGGUAGUAGAACCUUAGAGUAAAGAUAUGAGCUAAGAGUAGCCAAGUAAAUGUAGAAUCUAAUGAUCUACUAGUUGUUGCAUAGAGUUGCAUGAUUUUCAUAUCGCAUAUCGUGAGGCAUGGCAUGUAUUUCAAUUGAAUAUAUAUCUGUUGUAUAUUGUUGAACUAACAUGUUGCAGUGCCUCCUCGGACCUAUCGGUCGAGCUUUUCCCUUGGGUAGCCGUACCUAUUGGGAACCAUGGAGUUGGUUCUCACCCCACGUGAUUUUGGGGUGUUUUCAGGUUGUACGUGUGCAGCGCGGUGGCGCGAGGCGAGGGCGUAGCUCAGUAGAUAGCGCCCUACCACAGAGACCAAGGUAGCAGUACCAUGAGGCAGUCUAGCUUAGGGGACUAGAAAACUAGAAUCAAGAUGUAUCAACUUGUAAAUUAAAUGAUGUAAUAAUUAGAUUGUAAUUUGGAAGUAAAAUGUAACUGAGUUGUAUUAAGUGAAUGCGAUUGAAUGCUUGUAAUAGCUAUUAGUUUUAUGUAUUUGAUACUUCCUUAUACAAUCUGGAUUGAUAUCCGUUCCUAGUUGGAACACUCAUUGUAUUGUUUGGAUUGCGACGCCUCGAACGUACAGGGGAGACUCUGUCCGCGUACAGGGGAAACCCCAGUCCGUUUGGCGGUCUGUUAGCGGCGCCGCGACCCGGUCCAAAUUGGCGGCUGGUCGCGGGACGUGAUAGUUACAGUGAAUGUUGCACUACUAUUACGACCGUAUUGCACUCUUACAAGUUUAGUUGUACUCUUUUAUCCCGCGUUGGACUAUUUUUCGGUUUUUACGGAUUUGUUUUUACUAUUAAUUACAUGUUAUCAUCGAUUAGGGAGAGAAUUUUACACUGCUUAAUAACUCGUUGCAGAAUUAAUGUUAGGCAAAUAUUACACCAUUAAUAGCGACUUGUUCCAGCUAGUGUUCCACCCGUUAUGCUACACUGGUUGGAACUGCAUUGCACUGUUACGAUGAGUGUUGCACUAUUAGUAAGAAGCGCAGUGCACUCUUACAAGCUUGCUUGCACUCUUUUACCCCGCGUUGUACUAUUAUUCGCGUUUUACAUUGCACUAUUAUUUAACUGCUCUAAGCAGAAAGUAAGCUUUUUUAAGAGAUGUUGCAUGAUAUUCCUUAAUCAUUUAGGUGUUAUGUUGCACCUCCCGAACGCCGCCCCCGCCACUGCCAAGUGACUGGGGACGCGAUAUACGACCACCCUCCUGCCCCCGUCGCCGUGCAUUUGGAGGGGACGUCGUUCGUCACCGUAGAAAAAUUUAUGGACUUAUUUGUCAUAUUGUCUUCAGAUUAUAUCUUCAAAUACAGAGAACGAUCAGUAUUUUAUUUUAUUUAUUGCACAAAUUCGGGGAAUGUUACACCACGUCGAGCAUUUUGUUGAACUAGUUCCUUCGAGCCUUUUGUAGAACUAGUACCUUAUGGGGGAGUGGGCAGAAGCGGUGGUGAGGGAGAAGAUUGAACGCCAACGUUGGUCAUCUGAGCGGCGGAGAUUGCAUUAGUGCGAGUCGAAGGAUGCACUAUUAGAAGGACUGUUGCACCAUUUCUCCUCGCGUUGCUCCGGGGUGUUGCACUAUUAUCCCUGUUACGGGCCACGUAAUUCUUGUCUUUUAGCUUCGAAAAAUUUAUUUUCUUAAAGCCGAACAGCAAACAGCUAGGCUGGCGAAUAGCGGGGCGGAUUUGGUUUGGGUACCGAAAAUGAGAGAGGUUGCGUAAAGCGCAAGGGGCGCAUUUAAUGCCCGUCAAGACCGUAUGUCAGGGUACACGUAUCUCAGAGAAUAUGCGAGCGGCGGAUGUAGAUGAGGGGCAUUUUGGUCAGGCGGCUGAAAAUCCGACCCGAAAUUGUAAAAUCGAAAAAGGUGGCCCACUUUUGCAAAAGUGCAAAACUAGUGGAAUUUUUAUGCAAAUUGGCCUAUUUUUAUUGGGAAAAGUCUACCUGUACUCCUAUAGGAAGGUGUAUAUCCUACACCCGUAUGAUCCAACGGNUCUCCUCUCUCUCUCAGUCGCUCGCUCGCUCACCUCUCUCUCUUUAGCUCGCUGCCUCGCUCGCCCGCCUCUCUCUCUCACGCUACCGCGCUCGCCUCUCUCUCUCUUUAGCACGCUGGCGCCAAAAUUUAGGGCAAAAGAGGGAAAACGUGAGGGGAUAAAAUGUGGGAGUGAGGUUAACACUGAUUUUUUUUUGUUUUCAAACUAAGUUUAUAUCAGCCGUUAGAUCAAGGAGUUGUAGGAUCUACAACUCUAAAUGGGGUGUAUGGGUAGCACGACUCUUUUUAUUGUUUAUCAUUUCAAGUACCAAAGUGUAGGCGUGUGGGAUAACCAAUGGGCAAGGACUUGUUAGAUAGAUUUCUUUUUACGAAUACUUAGUUUUUCUUUUUUAUGUUAAAUUGAAUGGAAUGAUUGUUAUCCCUAUUCAUUAUAUUUGGACAAUUAAUAAUUAUUACUCAAUUCUAUUUUAAUUAAUAAACUUUUUAAUGUAGUACCAAAUAGGGAAUGUGGCUUUGAUUCUAUUUAAGUUCUUUUAUUUUUGGGGCUUUUUUUUCGGAUUCAUAGUCAAUUGUUGCAGUUCAGUUCAGAUCCAAAUAUUCGGAUCCAAAACGUGACAUGGACGUUAUCGGGUUUUGGAGCGUGGAUAUAUAGAGAAUUUUGACAGCUCUCUUCACGUUCGAGAAGUGACAAGUGAAAUAAGACAAAACUCUUGGAAGAUACAAAAGUAUUAAAAAUUAGAAUGAUCCAAGAAAACUUGUAAGACAAACAACCUAAUCCGAUUCUUGAAUACGGUGGCUAUAUAUUCAGUUUCUUAGUUUCUGAUGCCCACUCUUUCUAACACACAUUUUGCCUAUUCCCAUACAAAAAAUUGGGAUAGACAAAACUUUUUUUUGUACAAUAUGAUUGCCAAGUUCAAAUAUUGUAAAAGACAAAGUGUUCAAUUAUAUAAAAAAUAUAUAAAAAAAAUCUUUUUAAUAGUCUAGAAGAAUCAAGACUACAGGUUUACAUUUUUAUUUUAAAGUCUUUUAGCUAGUUUGAAUUUCAAAAAUCAUUGUCACUGCCGCAUCUACAAGUUGUGAGUGUAAAGGCUAGAGUAAUAAGUUUCUUCAAACAUUAUAACGAGGCCAAAUUGCGAAAACAAUCCACUACAAAGUAAUUUAGGACAGAUCUCUUAACAAUAUUGUUGGUCGAAAAUCAUAAGAAGAUAAUCGCUAUCGUUCAGCUUACUAUUCCGAUUUAUUUACGAUAAGCAGGCAAUGUUUUAUCUAAUUAAGAAAAAGGAGAAAGUGUGUGACGACUGGGCAGCACUUUGCCAAGACAGAAAGGCCGCUUCAAAAAUUGUGAUGGCAGUUGUUACACUCCAAUCCCGAGGCGUAAUACAAAAAAUUAGUAUCAGAGGCGAAUAUCAACUAGAAGUGUAAGAGCUAAGUACUAUAUAAGACAAAGUGUCACACCAACGAAUUUGGUGAGAGUUGUUGGAUAUGGCCCACAUGAUUUAUUUAAGGCGAUUUAUAAAGUUACAGUCGGUUUAUUCAAGUUGAUCUAUAGAUAUGAUAGAUCUAACGGUUAGAAUGUAUAUGGACACGUGCUUGAUGGACGGACGUGAUUUAAUAUCCUCACAUUAAGUUAUAUAUAAAUAUGUAACAUACGAGAGUCCCGGUCUAACCAUAAUCCAAUUUUCUGUGACGGCUCCAUCUCCGGAGAUAAGAAAAUUACACUCGAAACGUGCCGUUUUCUUGUACAUCGCGAACGAGAACGAACCACGAGCAAAAAUCGCGCCUACAAAUCGGAAUCAUGGCAGAAUUUAUAAUAAAGUUUCAACAGGAGUCACCUCUUGAACCCGUAGGAGCUAUUUCUUAAAUCUCACAUCACAUAAUAAUUCUGAUCUGUAUAUCUAUGAUCUGAAUUUGGACGUGACGACAUAUGAGGCAUAUACGCUACUAAUAAUAACCGAACUUAAUUAUUUUAGACCGACGGUUUGGAUUCAAUAAAUUAUUGUUGCUAGUGGGUCGAGUCACUAUAAUAAUAGUGGUAAAAAGCACGCAGAUCUCAUGGUCACAGGGCCUAAUUUUACUUCUUUUUUUAACAAAGCAAGGAUUGCAUGCAAACCCAAUCCCCGCCUUCUUAAUUGGUCAGUGCAGCUCAUUACUUCAUCAUCACCGCUCGCCAUAUUAUUAUUACUAGGAUGGUAACCUGAUGCGUCGGGUGUUUUUUAAUUUUAUAUAAUAAAUUUUAUCAGAAAUAUUUAAUAAUUUUUUAAAAAAUUGUAAAGAAAUAAAAAAAUCUACAUGUGCAUAACCAAUUUAACAUUUUAUUCAAGUCUAAGAUGCUGUCAUGCCCCGGGACCUAGCGGAAGCCCGCCCGGAACGUAUCCAGACCCGCCGUAUGUCUAAAACAUAUAAGGCGUCUAAAACAAAACGAUAAAUAAGACAAUAAAAGAGAACAUCUAGAAGCAUCAGAGCAAGGUAUAUCUAGAAGCUACAAUAAGGGAAAAGAAUAUAAAAGUAAAUCCACUAAGAGAAAAAAUAUAAAGUAGUACAACGGAUGUCCCAAAAUAAGUGCUAGAAAGGUACAUAGGUCGUCUCUCUAUACAUGGUGCAAAAUUUCUUUCUCUAAUACAAUAAAAGAAAGAGUAAACCACCUAAGCUCAAAAGUAGCUUCUCUCUAUCUAGCUAGGCGACACCUUUGCCACGAUCCCAUGCCUCCGCCGGUGCCGAAGGCUCUGAAAUAAAACCACAAAAUAGAGGGCGUGAGAACUAUUAAAUAAUAGUUCCCAGAGGGCAAUUACUGACUUCAGUGAAAUGCGCCACUAGGCCCAAAAGCUACAAAAUAGGGGUCAGUGUAUAAGUCUAAACAAAAGGGAUAAGUACAACUAGUAAAUAAACAUGAAUACCUGCUACCACAAGAUAUUUCUAUUUAGCAUGAUUUUGGUCAAGUAAUAAAAAGGCUACACUAGUAUGAAUGUACCAAAUCAUCACUAGUAUGAUGUCCAUAAGCUAAAUAGUAAAGAUGUCAUUGUUUACUAUUCUAGUUAUUGUCCAUAUGUCAUGAUGAAUGCUCAAAGUUAAAUCUAAAGAGACCAGCCCGAAGGUUGUCUGGCCCUGAGACCCAGCCGUAGGUUGUCUGGCCGGUGCCGAGCUUAAUAGCCCCGUGGUAGUCAACAUCCCCACCCUAUGAAUGAACCUAGCCCACGACAAUCCACUUCGACGCCCAAUCCUGCACGACCAAUAUGUAUCACGAUGGCUAUCUCCAGAGUGCCAGCUUGUAGGGAGCGAUCCUCACAAGCAUGUGCGAAUGAGCACAAUGGCAAGUAACCAAAAGAUUCAUCUCAAGUAUCAAGUCCUCAUGUCUAACAACAUGGAAUACGUCACAUCUCUCAUAGGCCUAUCUCUAUGUCAUUAUUUCUCUAAUAUGGAAUAUAAAAGAUGUCAAUGGCCUAUCACUAAGUCUCAGAUAACAGUUUCAUAGUUUGCUAGUCCAAGUGCCCCUUUAUGACACUUUUGGUCUCUAUGUCCAAGCAUGAUAAUUAUGAUCAUGAAUGCAUAAUUCUAAUCAUGUUCAUCGUACGAGACAAGUACCCAACUCGCUAAAGAACCACUUCUCAUAUGCAUGCUAAAAACCCAGAAUACCCUACUACAUAGAGUGAAAAUUUCAUGAUACAUAAGGCAUGCAUUUUAAGUGUUCUAAAAUUCACAUAAAUUCUAUUUAGCAUGGAUUUGAUGUCAAAUUGAGAUUACAAGUACAAAAUGCAUAUGGGUCAUUUUGCUCCGUUUUCAUGAAGUCAAACCCACCACAACUCUUACAACUCUUCGUAAGCUUCGACGAAGAUGCCCACUAGUCUCCUAGCACCCUAAAGAUGUAGAAACAAGAGUCAAACGGACCUUACGAACAACACAGAGCUCAAUCAUUAACCAUCUCAAGCUAAGGUGGAGAAAAACUUACCAAGUGUCAAGGAAGCUCUCUCGAUCUCCAAAUGGGAGUUAGAGUCCUUCAAAUCCAACCUAAACUAAGGUUCUAAACCCAUCAAUUAGGUCUCAAAGCCCUCAAAUCGAAAAUCCCCAAAAUAAACCCUAAAAUCCAAAUCUAGGGUUUUAUUUAGUAAAAAGUUCCAAAACUAGGAUCUAGAGGAGAGGAACUAGCCACAUAUCUCUAGGAUGCUCCAAACCAAGCUCAAAACCCUCAAGGAUUGGAGUUUGAUCCUCUACAAAGCUCCAAGUCCAAACUCCAAGCCUCCAAUGGUGAAGAAAGAGAGAAAGGGUUGAUGCUCCAAGCUCCCUCAAGCAAGCUCUUCCUCUCCUCCUUCUUCUUCCUCUUCUUCUUCUUCUCUUUCUAGAGGUGUGAGAGAGUGAGAAGUGAGGGAAAGAGAGAGAGGAAAUCGCUCUAAAAGCCCUCUAAAGCAACAAAAUCCAGUUAGGUCCCUCAAUAAUCCGUCCUAUGCACUGCCCUAGUCUGGGCAGUUUUCGGGUGGAGGGACCGGCGCGCGGUCUCUCCCUUCAGGGACCGGUCCCUAGGACCCUCCAGCCAAUCCCGCGUACGGGAACCGGUCCCUCAGUCUGGGGACUGGUUGCAUUACGCAACCGCCGAAUCCAAGCUACGGGGACCGGUCUCUCCCACCAAGGACCGGUCCCCGAGAGCUAAAUUCUCAGGAAUAAGUCCAAAACUCCAGUCUUCGAACUUUUAGGUUGAAAUACCAUCUACGACCCUUCACCAAGUGUGGAAAAGCUCGGAAUCCAAGUCAAGCACUCGAACCUCGCAAUUUGCACAAAUCCAAUGUGUUACAGAUGCUUAAAGAAAAAUAACGCAAAAAAAAGUGAUAGAAUUAAAAAGAACAAAAAUAGAAAAAUUUAAAGGAAAAACAGUUGACAUUACAUUAAAAAUAUAAAAAUAAAAGUAUAAGAAAGAUAAAAAAGAAGAAAAGAAAUAUCAUAAGAAAAAUAAAUCAUAUUUACAGUAACAUACGACACGUCCACUAAAAAAAAAAUCUUUUGUAGCUAAUCAUUUAGUAGAAAAAAUUAAAAAACUAUAUCAUAUACUUCUUAGUUUGAGUAAGAAAUUGUAACGCAUAAAAGUUCAAGGAGUCAAAUUUCAUGCAUCUUAUUAUUUGAUGACCAAAAGCACAAUUUAUAUGUUUUGUUUUUAUUUUAAAAAAAGACAAAGUUGAGAAAUGAUCAUUUUCUUUAAGUAGUAAUUUUAUAUAAGAAAAUUACAUGAAUUUUAGAAACCCUAAUUGUUAAAAUUAAAACUCGAUCAAUCAAACUUUAGAUAUUUCAAAAAAUUUUAAAUGUAAAAUUAAUCACUCAUGGAAUUAUAAAUAUUGUAUUGAAAUUUGACAGUAAAAAUAUAUAAAACUUUUCUGAAUUAUGAACCAUUUUGAAUCAUCUAUCCAACUUUCAAAAACUUUUAUUUUUAUUAUUUAAUUUUUCUAUAUGUUAGAUUUGAGUUAAUCGAUGGUACUUUAACUUUAAAAUUUGAAUGUGUCGCUUAACUUAUAUUUAGUUAGUAUAUUUUAUGUAAUUUUCGUAAUUAAAUUUAUUAAAAUAAAAAAUUAACUUAAUUAUAGUAUUUUUAAUUUUUUAUUAUAUUAUUUAUAUCUAAAUAAUUCUAAAAUUAAAAUUUAUAUUUAAUACAUACAAUCUAAAAUAUUUAAAAUUUAGGCAUAAAUAAUUAUAUAUUUUAAAUUUUUAUAAUAAAAAAAUUAAUAAAAUUUUAAAAAAAUUUUAAAAUUCUCUUCUCUAUAUGUAAAGAGAGAGAAGCGAGGAAAAAAAAAAAACUCUUGCCCAGCCCCUUUCCCCACGCUCCCCCGAGCGCGCCGCACCCACGCCGCGCCCUCGCCUGCGUCCCGCGCCGGCUCCCGCUCGCAGCCGCCCCCGCGCCCGCCCUGCGGUCCCGCCCCCUCGCUUUCGCGCGAGGUGGCGCAAUAGGAAAACUUUGAUUCCCAAAUUCAUAACUGUCUAAAUAAAUGUUAUGUUAUGGUAUGUUAUGGUACAUGAAUUUAAUGACAUGGGACGUCUCGUGCCCCAUCCCACCCCUGGGCAAAAAUUUUAUGACACCAUAUCCAAAAUUCUUUUUUGGGGAUCAUCUUGGAUGGGUGCCGUGUGGCACCCGAGCCACCUGGGCCACCGUCCCCGCUACUCUGCCUCUUGGGAGAGCAGUAGAUUUUUUCAGUGCACCCGGUGCACAAUUUUUUACUUUAAAAUUUUAAUUUUAAUUUUAAUUUUAAUUUAAUAUAAUAGAUAGAUAUUUUAUGAUGUUUAAAAAAUAUAUACAAAAGAAUUUUGAAUCCUACAUUCUAAAUUAUUUUACAUAUAUUUUUAAAAUAUCAUAAUAUAUAUUAUUAAAUUAUAAUUAAAAAACAAAAAAUAAAAUUUUAAAACGAAACUAGUGUCCAUAUAUAUAUAGUAUGAAUUAUACUAUAUAUAUCAAAUUAUAAUUUAAAAGUAAAAAAAAAUAAAACAAAAAAUAGUGCACCAUGUGCACCCAAAAAAAUCCGCCUGCUCCAUGGUGCCACGCGUCGCCAAUAGGGGGUGUUCCCAAAUUGGUUUUUAUGGACACAGUGUCCAUAAAAUUUUUGCCCCUUCUUAAUUGGUCAUAGUUGGUCAGUGCAGCUAAUUACUUCAUCAUCACUGUUUAUUAUUAUUAUUAUGAUGGUACAUGAAUUUAAUGACAUGGAACGUCUCGUCAAGGAAAGCUACAUUUUUGUUUUGGACCCCCAAGCUGUCGGAGCCCUGUCGUACGCAGAUGCAAAUCCAAAGCGCGUGGCGGUGGUAUAAACAGAAAAAAGUAAAAAAAAAAUAAAAAUCAAUUUUCAAUUUGCAUUGCUGCUGUCUAACGCAUUUUUUUACUUUAUUAUUUUAUAAUUUUAAAAAAAUCCAUAAAUAUAUAUUAAAAUAAUUUUUUUCUUAAAAAAACUAUAUAAUAGUAUCUUAUUUAAGAAUAAUUUUUUACAACAAAAUAAAAAUAACAUUAUAAAAUAAUUUAAUAUAAUUUUUUGAUCCAAUAAAUGACAAAGGAAAAUUUCAAACCAUAUUGCGGUAAAGUUAAAAUUAUGCUAAUAGUGAAGUAAAUUAUAGUUUACCCAAAAAAAAAAAAUCCAAUCAACAAAAAUAAAAUAAUUUUCCUAUUAAAAUAGUAUUUUUUAAAAAAAUAUUUUUAUAUAUUUCUAUGGAGAAUAUAAAUAUUCCUUGGUGAUAAUUGUUAUUUCAAUAUAAUUAUUAAAUAAUUAUAAGAAAAAAAAAAAAAAACUCCUUAGCAGCAGUGCACGCGUACUGUAUAACCGCAAGCAGGUGCGCCGAGUACGUGCCGGAGCUAUUACAGUGAACUAUCUGGGUUGAUCCAACCGCAGCAGGAGGACAAUAGGUUCCAGGCGCAAGACGUCCCCGCGCUGUCCAAGGGACAUGCAAAUUAACUUUGUCCAAUAUUUAAUUGGAGUUUGAUACGGAAAUUAUUCUCUCUUUUUCAGGCAAUUAAUUAAAGAAUAUUGAUUGAUGGAGGUAUCGGUGGCAUAUUUUGGGUCUGGGGAUCACUUGUUGGGACUCGGAUGGUUUCAAUAGUGGUCCAUAGUUAUUAAAUUAUGAGAUGAUUGUUGUAAUUCACAAGAUAAAAAAAAAUAAUUAUUAAAUUUUAAAUUUUAUAAAUUAUUGUACAAGUUGCUUGUAAGAAUAAUAUUAUCUUUAUUUAAAUUGUAGAACGCAGCGGAAAUAUUCGUUUAUAUCUUUUUCGCAAGUGACUCGCGUUAGAACACGAUAAAUCCUGAAUCGUAGAAGUUGAUUCAUGUAUCCUUGGUUCGUCCACGAAGGUUUCUAACACUCCAAAUCUACAGUAGAUCGAGCUACGAACAAACUAGGUCUAUAAUCCACCGUUCAAAACUCUCUAGAAGCAAUAGGUUAAUAGAGAAUGUGAUUUCUCUCUUACACAAGAUGCCUCAUGAAUUAUUCAUGAAUUUUAGCAUAUAUUUUUUUCUUUUUUUAAAUGAGAGAAUCGCGUGUAUAUUUAUAAGAGAUUCCAACAUCCUAAUAGGCAAGUAAAAGAUUACGUCGAACCUGUUUAUGAUUGCUAUCCUAAUAUGGCUAGAAUGUAUUUCUAAUUAGCUUAUCAAAUUAAAAGCGCGAUUAAAUUUAGUCCAAUUAAACAACAUAAUAACCGUUGGAUCGAGCUCGAUAAUAAGCAUACCUGAUUUGGUUUAACCAAAUGCCAACAUUUUCCAGUCGCAUAUAACGGUAUCGAUAUCAUUAUAAUUGUUAGAAAAUUGCGUACGGUAAAAACGCAGCGGAAAAGGAAAUCAAACAAAUUUGAUUUUGAAAACUCUCGAGAUCCAAUCUCAAAAACCACGUAAUUAGGAUUCCUCAUGGUCUUUAAAAUUAAAGGAGAAAAGUAAGAUCAAAUCUUUACCUUUUUUGUGGAUAGAUCUUCAUUUCAAUUUGAUGAUCGUGGAAUAGGGUUCUCUUGAAUCCGCACACGCGUCUGGCCUCUAUAGAUAUCCACACAAGGUUCUUAAUUUGAUCGAUGUCCUCACCGAGGUGCUAGCUCCCUUGCAAAAGGACGUCUAUUUGCUAGAAGAUGGAAGAGAAAGGAGAAGAGAGAUGACGGCUUGGAUUUUCCAAAAACUUCCGUAUUAUUAUAUAGAGGAAUAUAAUCCUUUUUUUUUAAUAAUAGAAUAACCAUUAAGGAUAACUACAAAUCUAGAUUUAAAUUUAUCAUUUCCUUAAUUGGUUAGAUCGAUCAAAUCCUAAUUUGAUUCGACUUGAAUUUUAUAUUAAUUUGAUCAUAUCAAAUUAAUAAUGCAAUAUUUGCACACAAGUCCUCUUAUAUUUUACUAACUAUUAGUAAGUCCUCUCUUAUAACAUUUAUACUUUAAUACCACUUAUUUGUAACAAUUAUAAAUUAAUACAAUUAUCAACAUAUUGACAAUUAGGUCCUCCAUCGAUUCAAUAAUCGCGAUCUAGCUAUCCGAUCAAUCACAACCUCUUAUGUGUGUGACCCCAUAGGUUCUACUCUGUUUGAUAGUGAGAUAUAUUUUGAUCACUAUCAACAAUAUCACUGAAACUCCUUUCAGUGGAUCAGAACAAUUCCAACUCAGCCCAAUGAGAAUUAUCGAUCAUCUAGAUAAUUCUCAUGAGUCUCACAAUCUACUAGUGACGCCUAGCAGCAUGUAGUGGAAUUCCAGUAGAAUGGAAUACUGAACCUCUUGGUGCAGUUACCGUGUGAUACAAUUCUUCUAUCAUGAGUCCCGACUAGACGGAGGUUAUGGAAUAACUCGUCAAACCCCAUCGUCUGUCAUAUGUUAAAUUUAUUCGACUCGAGUUUCUAAUAUCGGAAACCCUUUUUCGCUAUUAACACUGCCCAAGCCAAGGUCUUCUAAACUCGGUCUCAUAAAUCACACAGGACUAACACCCCUAUCUACCAAGGGAGAUAGAUUCCAUCUAAGUGCGCACCCUAUUUCUACAAUGAACCUACUGCAGCCAACAUGCACCGCAAGGACCCGAAUGACUAGGGACCAAGUGUAUGUACAGUCAAACUACAGUAACCUCAUUGUGAAUAGCCGAGGCACAGCAGGUCAAAGGACCAGUCACACUACUGCAAUAUUGAGUAAGGCACUGACGAAUGAGUAGACAUCCAAGUGACUUCUCGCAUUAGUCACGCUCGGUACCCUUGUUCUCUAACAACCACCUGCAUAUUUGCUUCAGUGUCCCCACACUGUCGACUCGAGACCCGUCUACCCAAAAAGGGAAGCGACCUAUGCACCAAUCUCAUCGGAUCAAUUACCGUCCCCGUGAUGAUCCAUUGAUCGGGAGCAUUUAGGAAUUAAUCACCAAUGACACAUGUCUCAAAUUCUCAACUCUUGAGAAUGUAUGUAACCAUUUUAUUAAUUUCUUAGACGAUUCAUGGACACAUACACAACAUGAAUGGAAAUAAGAAUCCAAAUUAUUCAUAAUAUUUUAAAGUAAAAUACAAAUUUAUGUUCUAGAAUAAAUAUAUAUGUCGGCCUAGUUGGCUUCUAGGGCAUACAUCUAACAAUAACCACUUUCUCAAUUACACCAUUAUUGAUUCCAUUCAUAUAGAGUAAUGAACAGUGCGACCACCAAGUCAGCCUACAUUUUUGGAGCUCUACACUAGAAACCACAUAAGGCCAACAUAGAGACAUUAACCCUAAGAAAUAGUAGACUCAUGAUGCCCUAAACUAUUGGAUUAUCUUAGGUUUAGCAUAUCUAAUCUCUUAAAGAGCCAUACUAAUCUCUGUUGUGCAUAUUAUGAUACUAUACUCAUAAUCACCUUGCUAUAUUGAAUACAACUUGUUGACAAUGAGUCAAAGUGUCUUAAUAUAAUCCAACUAGUUUUCCUUAAACCCCCAUGCCACUAAGUUAAGAAUUGAUUACUUUCCCAGCAAUGCCCCAUAAAGCCGCAUCACUCAUAGCUGUAGGAAAAACGUCAAAAUAGCAACAUCAAUUAUUUUACUUAAUGACAUAGUCAGAUGUCACUAAGGACAUCUAACAUAUAUAGGACAUAGCCUCAAAAUGAUGUUCAAAAAAACUCACACAAUGAGGAAGUAGGGGAUCCAUUCACUCGUUUUCUUCAUUUGGUCGCCUAAGCAUGUGUGUAUGAAAUAUAUACUAUGACAGGGGAUCUCAAUAAGCGCUGUCUUUCUCAAUGCCAUACGAAUCUUUGCUCAGGCACUCCCGGAGUGUCUAGCUUGAGUUCUUCAUUUACUCGCUAUCUCAAACGCUAAACAAUGAGCUCACAUUCGGCUCUAAAUGUACAAGCCAUACGAAUCAUGGGACUAUCCAUAUGCGGUAUCGCUUAUGAUCUCAUCUUGGUGCCAACCAAGGCGGCUAUCAUUAAUGCCUCUUUUUUUGAUUGCUCUCUACAACGCUGAAAAGAAUGAUUGCCCGUGUGAAAGGGCCAAUCAGCCUAUGACAUUGUCAUGCCUCGGAUUAUAGCGGAAACUUGGCUUACGUCAAUGGACCCGCCGCAUGUACAAGGAUACACCUUAUAUACACAAAACGUCAAAAAACCUGUCCAAAUAAGUUACUGAAAUCUAACAACAAUAGUUAUUAGAGUAGAAUACAAACUAUGUAUUGUAGCAACACUGUAGAUAUAUAAUUAUCACCACACCAAUCCACAAAAUGGUACAACAUCUUUGGCUACUCCAAACCUCAAAACAUAGUAUAGACUACUAUAUCCACUGAUAAGUGGUCCAACUACAUACACAAAAAGGGUAGGAAAUACUAACUAUCCACGAUCCCCCUAUCUCGAUUAAUCACUGGUGCUGAAAGAUCUGUCAUAAAAUAUUAAUAAAGAGGGUAUGCGAACUAUAAUCAGUAGUCCCCAAUGGAUAUGGUUGACAAAGCCGGUGGUCUACACCAUUAGGUCCAUAAGAGGUUGAUAUAGUAGUAUGAAUGAACAUGUAUUAAUAUAAAUAACUGCUAAAAAUAACUGCUGAAAAUAACUGCUACUAUCAUUGCUCUACAAUAAUAGUAGCAGUUGCUCCACAUGCUAAGAACAGGUAGUUCUCACACACUUUUGUGGUUUACUUUUUAAGGGUACACAUACCGACAGUUGAUCGUGGUAAAGAGGAUCGUGCAGUACAUAGCAUCUCCUACCAGUUUGCCUAUACAUUAGAAGACCACCAGAUAGUGUUACUUUGUAUUACUUGCCUGUAUUGGCGAGGGCCAGGGCCUUGUACAUGUACUUUUCUUUUGGGGUUAAGUUUUAUUUCAUGAAGUACAUGAUGUAUAGCAGUUUAGUUUGUAGAUAGUGCUCUGAUACAUAUCGUUUGUUUAUUUCAUGCUUUAUUUUGGAUCUUGAGAUGUGAAAACUUUUCCGUUUGAUCUCCUGGAUUACUUUGCCUUGUUCUUUUGUGUUGCCGCUUCGUUCGGACAGAGGAAACUCUAUUCAUUCAGCGGAUCUGUUGACGCCUCUGUGGGCUUCCGCUGUGGACUCGGGACGUGACAGUGGGUAACCCUAAAAAUCAUGAUAAUUUAGGGUGCGAUUAAGAUGUAAGUUGUUACCUCCUAGAAGUGUCAUUUGAGAGAUGCCAAUCACCCUUAACUCCCUAUCAUAUGUUGGGAGAUGCUAUUCACCCUUGACUCCCUGCAACGUAUUGGAGAUGCCAAUCUCCCUCGACUCCAAGUACAUACCGAUUGGAGAGAUGUUGAUUGCCCUCGACUCUCCAUGAGGUGUUUGGAGAGUACGAACCAAAUGUUUGAUAUUAUGAGAUAGUUGGGUAAACAUACAGACCUAUGUCAUAGAACCUGAUUGUGACAUAUUGUUUAUAUUUGAGGCAUAAUAGUUGUACUUUUCUUUUAGCAUUUCUAUUAUGAAAAUAGAUAUUUUAUUUACUAUUAUUAUUUUACUAAUGCCUUCUUUAAAUUUAGCGCAUAGCGUUACUUUUGGUAGUUGCACCCACUGGGAACUUAUUUUAUGUUCUCACCCUAUUGUGGUUGUUAUUUUUCAUAGCCAUCUACCGCCAUUGAGGCGUGGGAGUGCCGUAAGGACGUUGUUCGAGUUAGCUAGAUCAGCAUGAGUUGGUUUAGAGUGCAUAGACAAGAAAAAUUAUAAUAUUUUGGAAAGAUUAAAUAUUGUAAACUUGUUAAGAGUUAAAUUGUCACGUCUCGCUAUCGCCAAUUUGGUCGAUCCGGGCCCGCGCACAGACGCCGAACGAACAGCACCUCCUCUGUUCGCCCAAGGCUCAACAACAACGAGUACAUGUAUAAAGAAAUAAAUAAUUCCCAGGAUCACAUUUCAAUAUACAUGGCUUGCACGAAGGCAAGCAACAAACACAAGUGAUAGUAAAGCUAGCUAAACAUGAAAUUUCACUGUAAUUUAAAACUUUACAUAGCUGAACUUUAUAACUGAAACAUUUAGUUAUAUACAUGCUUUUAUACAUUCAUUUACAUGUCUCUGUACAUAAAUAGGAUAUAAUGAACCAACAUGGUAACUGCUAAAACUUCUGGUGUCAGCUAACUAAGCUGCAGGGCCCUUGCCACGAUCCUCGCCGAAACUCGCACUGAGACCUGUAUGGUUAGUGGUGGUAGAACUACAAAUAAGUUCCCAGUGGGUUCGGCUGGCCGACACUCGGCCGUCACCCACUAGGUCUACUCAGGCAUAUGUAGGCAAAGAAAAGUAAGCAGAUAGUACACCAACUAUAACAUGUAACUACCUACAAUGCCGUAUCAAAGCGGAGAAGUAAGUAAUACGAAAACUGUAAAGAUGCAUGCAUGCGUUUUUCAUUAACUUUACCCAAUCUUUUAGUUAACCCUCUGGUUAACAGCUGAACAAGUACGUUAGUCCUGGGGCAAGUACGUCUAGCCACUAAAUUUACCCAAUUCAGUGGUUAACCCUUUGUUAACAAUACUCACCAACGAAAUCCCUCACGGCCCUAAGCUGCCUCCCGAUGGGACCGUCUGUCGGACAAGUACGUUAGUCCUGGGGCAAGUACAUUAGCCCAACAAGUGACUACUCCGGAGCUCACUGCCUGGGGGGAGCGACCACCACCAAGCUAAGAAACAGACUAUGUGAGUAAGAUCUGAUCCUCCUUCAGAGGAUUCACAACAACUGACAAUGCCACAAGUAACUCUGACUAGUUCUUUAUGCUAGUUUCACAAUUCCAUUUUUUGAUGCUAACUAAAUCUCUAGUUAGAAUGUCACCGAAUUUACUAUUAUCAUAGUCCACAGUAAAAUUCACACAUUUAUAGGGUUCUAUGUUCAUAUUCUAUGGCCCACAUGUUCUUUACAUUAACAUAAAUUCAAUUGCACAAUAACACUUUUCCCUAUAAUGCAUGAAUAUGAUACAAUUCACAUAAAUAGAUAUGCUCAAUAGAAUAGCAUAGACAUAAAGAGAGAUUCGAUGACUUCGGAUAGCACCACCCACCUGUAGUGGUGUUAAUCAACUAGAAUCCACGUUUCAGAAAGCGUCGACGACUAUCUCUCGCGACUCCGUGCAAAUAGAACUAGAACGGCCGCUACCGUAAUUAGCGCGUCGUCGACCUGUCGGAAAGUCAAUUUAGACUCUUGGGCAUGUUUACUUUUUACUUAUAAAGGAUUAGAAAAGGUUAAACUAGAGUCAAUACUCAUAUUUUACAAAUUAGCAUUUCAAUGCUAUAUAAAACGGCAACUAUAGCCGAAAAACUUCUUUUGGCGAUAUCUUUGCGUAGGUUCGUCGGAUUGCCGAACCGACUUCGCCAACGCGUUUCUUUUACCCUCAAUUUGGUUUACACGCGGUCAAUUUCGCAUUAGGACUCUUACUUUGCAAAAGUGCAUUGCCGGGGUCAAUUUCUAUAAAAACCCCGUUUUUAUCGAAAUCCUAACUUAUUUUCGAUCUCUCUCUUUCUUAAUUCUUUCUUUUCUCUCUGGCUUUCUUUCUUUUCUUCCUUUCUUUCUUUUCUUCUUUUCUUUCUUUUCUUUUCUUCCUUUCUUUCUUUUCUUCCUUUCUUUCUUUCUUUUCUUUCUUUUCUUUCCUGCUGUUGCUGCGCAUGCUGCUGCUGCUGCUAAGCUGCUGCUGCUAGCUGCUGAGGCUGUUGCUGCUGCUGCUGCUGCUGCUAGCUGCUGCUGAGGUUGCUGCUGCUGCUGAGGCUGCUGCUGCUGUGCUGCUGCUGCUGCUGAUGGCUGCUGCAGCUGCUGUUGCUGCUGCUGCUGCUGCUGCUCAGCAGCUGGCUGAGCAGCUACUGCAGCAGCUGCUGCUGCAGCAGCUUGCUGCUGCUGCUGCUGAUCCAGCAGCUGCUGCUGCUCGCUGCUCUAGCAGCAGCUGCUGAUGCUACUGCUGCUGCUUCAGCAGCAGCUUGCUGCUGCUGUUCCUGCUCACAGCAGCAGCAAGGGCUGCUGCUGCUGCUGUUACUACAGAGAGAGAGGGAUGAGAGGGAGAGAGGUAAAACCUACCUCUUUUCUUCUUCUUCUAUUUCUUCUUCUUCUUCUCUUUUCUUCUCCUUUCUCUUCUUUUCUUUUCUCUUCUUUUCUCCUUCUCUCUCUCUACGUAUGGCAGCAAGGAGAGGGGAUAAGGAUGGAGGGGGGGGCUGCCUGGCAGGUUUAGUGGAAAUCGACUAAGGCAUAGGUUAAUUACCAUAAUGCCCCUCGACUUAUCCGUUUAGCCGCGCGGAUUAAAUACCUUUCGUAAGCCCUUCCGAAAGUUCGAUUGAGCUCAAAUUUGACAGACAUGUUCGUUUUUACUUAACAAGUCCACNGUGACACCCCAAUAGUCCCACAUCGGAUGGGAAUGGGGUUAUCAUUGGGUUUAUAAGAGACUUAGACACUAGUAAUAAUAACUGGGCUUAAGCAUUUUGGGCCGGUUGUUGGGCCCAACGAGUUAUUAUUGCUAGUGGGCUGGGUCGUUACACAAAACAAGGAUCAAAGGAUAAAAUCAAGUACUAACCUUUCUAGGUGCCUCAAAACAAGCUCCAAAUCUUCUAGGGUUGAAGAUUGGUCCACCACCAAGCCCUACAAGCAAGCUCCAAGCCUUGCAAGAGUGGAAAGAAGAGAAAAGGGGUUGAGCUCCAAGCUCCCUCAGGCAAGCUCCUCUUCUUCUUCUCCUCCUUCUUCUUCUUCUCUCUCUAGAAAGUGUAGGGAGAGGGUGAGAAAUGAGGAGGGAAGAGAGUGAAAGGGUCAUAUAGACCAUUUAGAGCAACAAAAUCCAGAGAGGCCCCUCAAAAAUUCAAAUUUGCAUCAGCCCGGACUGGGCAGUUUUUGCCCAGAGGGACCGGUCUCUCCUUGCAAGGGACCAGUCUCUCGUGUCGAACCCGAGAAACCAACGUUCGGGAACCGGUCUCUCCCCGCGCGGGACCGGUCUCUCACUGCGUAGACGCGCUCGGGGACCGGUCUCGCCCGCCAGGGACUGGUUGCCUCGCCGGCUGCGCAACACUGUUCACUGGAGGACCGGUCUCUCCUAGCAGGGACCGGUCUCCGAGAGUGAAAACUCUCAGGACUCGUCCAGAACUCAGGUUUUCAAACUUUUUGGAUCGAAAAACAUUCUACGACCCUCCACCAAGUGUGGAAAAGCUUGAAAUACAUCCAAUCACUCGAACCUCGCAAUUUGCAAAGGUCCAGUGUGUUACAAGUUCUCACCCCACUAUUCCAGAGUCGGGACCGAGCGAGCCGACGAGCGAUCGGGGUAAAGGUAUCGCACCAUAGUCAGAGGCCACCAGAGUCGGGUUAUUUCAUAUUUUGUUAGUUUACCCUUUUAUCAUCUUUUGUAUUUGAUGAUUUAAGAUGUUAAUGUAUAAAGCGAAGAAAGAAAAGAAUGUAAUGUUUAUUUUAAGCCAAUGUGAUGUAAAAGAAAUGAUGCAAGCAAUAUAAAGAAUCAUGAAUGUACAACUUGGAUGAAGUGGAUGCAUGUAUGUGAUCAAAAGUUGAAUUAUAAUACUUGUGUAGAUGUUUAGUUCCCUUUCUUUCACUCAUGGCUAUUGCUUAUCCUCGUGUAAGCCGUUUGUGUAUAUUUCUGCUAGUGCACUUCAUUUUUUGAAAAUGUACAUAUGAUGAGCCUUGGGCGGACAGGAGAAACUCUGUCCGUUCGGCGUUUGUUUGACGUGCUCGGGCCGGCCCAAAUUGGUAUCGGUCGCGGGGCGUGACAUCUAAAGUGUCAUAUUUGAGUAUAUGUAUGUAUUGACCAUAUUGUAUAGUAGGGUUACUUGUGAGCUUCUCAUUGCAUAUUGUGAGUUCAAAUGCAUGAGAAAUACUAGUAAGAAAGUGAGAAUUUAUAAACUCUAUGCAUGCAUGAUAAAUGAUGAGAACUUAGUAGACCUAACUUAGUAGACCUAGAAAACAAAUGUGACAUGUGGACAUGAAUGUAGAGAGUGGCAUUGUUGAGUCAAGAAUGCUAGAAUUGAACACUUAGAGAACAUGUGUGGCAUGUGUGUGCGAGUACAAAGUAGUAUAUAUGACACUAGCGAAAGUAAAGAAUGCAAGUAAAGGAGUGAUUGUGACAUUAUGAUAUAACAACCUUCGAGUUAAGGGUCAUAUGUAGAUUGUUUCCUUAUAGUUAUGGAUUGAACUUGACAUCUUUAUCGUUAUGGAUUGGAUCAUACUCACCUGUAAGUCCUUACUCGAGGGCGGUAGCUUCCCCUCGGGCGAUGUGCUCCGGAGUUGUCAUUACUGAAAAGUGGAAUCUCUAGAGGACGGUCCUAUCGGGCGUAGUAGUCUCCCCGAUACUUGAGAUUUGAGUUGGUGAGUCUAUUGAGGGCGAAACCCACGGGCUAGCCUAGAGAUUGGGAAUCGAAAAUGUGACCUUGCAUUCAUCAUGAGUAUUCUAUCGAGCAUCGCAUUCUUUAUUGUUUAGGCAUAUUAGCUGCAUUUGUUUAGUUGGUUACUAUCUGUCUGUUCUUCUAUUAUGCCUGAUUUAGAUCUAGUGGGAAAGUCGGCGUGGUUGGUUGCCGAACCUACUGGGAACUUUGUUGUAGUUCUCACACCCCACCUUCCACAGAGUCAGGACCGAGCGAGCCGUCAUACGACCGCGGUAAAGGGAUCACGCCCUAGAUAGAGACCACCCGAGAUGGUUUCAUAUUUUGUAGUUGCAUUUCCUUUAGUAUCAUCUUUUGUAUUUGAUGAUUCUAGAUGCUUAAGAGAAUGAUGUAAAAGAUAUUUAUUUCCAAUGUCAAAGGUUGUAUUUUGGAGAAUGAGAUGUAAAAAGAUAUGAUGAAAAAGAAUGUAAAAGGACUUGAUGAAAGUAGUAUGCAUAUAUAUGAUUUAAAGUUAAUUAUUGUACUUGUAUGUUGAGUAGUUAGAUCUUUCAUUUUGGCUAUUGCUUGCCCUCGUGCAAGCCAUUAUGUUUGCUUCCGUAUGUGUAAUUUUUAUACCCUAUUUGUACUUGUUGUUGAGUCUUUGGUGGACAGGGGAGGUGUUGUCCGUUUGGUGUCUGUUCGACGGGUCCGAUCCGGCCAAAUAGGACCGAGUUCGGGGCGUGACAGAUAUAAUGGUAUCAGAGAGUAAAGUGCCUAAAGUGAAAGUAUAGGAUAGACCUAGAGACUUUUAGUGUAAGGAAGUGAAUUCUCAAAAUUCGAGAGUUGGACUUCGCUCAAAAUCGAUUAUUUGUCGAGUGGGUAUGCUUCGAAAAGCCGAAGAAGUCGAAAACCCGAAAAAUGCAUUGCAACAGAUCCACGAGAGCAAGUUGUGCAAAAGUCUGCACUUGGCAGAUUUUGCUCUCGGGGACCGGCCCCUGGUGGGAGAGACCGGUCCCCGUAAGUUGAAGCUGCGAUAGAAAAUCUCUGCUCACAAGUUUUGCUCUCGGGGACCGGUCCCUACCAGGAGGGAUCGGUCCCCAUAAGCGUUGUGAGCGGCAUAGAAGGUCUGCGCGCAAAGAUUGCUCUCGAGGUCCGCCGGUCCCUCAAGUGGGGAUCGCUCCUUGAAGGUCCGGUCCCUUAGGCGAGGACCGGUCCCUGUACGCGUAGAAACUGGCUGAGAGCCUCUGCCCGCAAGAAAGGCUCUCGGGGACGGGUCCCUCUAGGGACAGACCGGUCCUCGAGGGACAGACCGGUCCCCGAGCACGAAAAUUGCCCAGUCUGGGCAGUGUGAAAGAAGCAAAAUUGAGGGGCUUGGAUGUAAUUAUUGCAUUAGUUAGGGGUAUAGAGGGGAGAUCACCCCCUCUCCCUCCCAACCCUCUCUCCCUCUCUCUCUCUAAGCUCUCUCUCCCUCUCUCUUGAAGUGAAGAAGGAGAAGAAGGGAAAGAAGGAGAGAAAGAAGGAGAAGAAGGAGAAGCAAGCUAGAGAAGGCCUUGGUCUUCUUCUUCUUCUUCCUCUCACCAUUGGAGCAAGCUUAAGAGGUAAACUUCUAAGCCCUACAAUGGUAGAAACCUAUGGUUUGGAUUUCUUGCUCUAGAAAUGGUUUGAUUAGAACUCUAGCAUGCUUCAUAGAGGUUUAAAGCUUAAAUCUAGAGUUUGAUUGGGAUAGUUUGCUAUAGAGAUGCAAACCCAGGGCUCCAAAUUGAGGUUUUGCUUAAUAGUGAGGUUUGAUCUCAAUUGUUGGCAUCUAAACCUAAUUGCUAGGUGCCUAAACGCGUUGGCGAAGACGGAUUGAGCAUUCGUCGAGUCGUUGAAAAGUUAUCAGCAAAACAAGACCGAUUGGGCUUCGUUUCCGCCUUGGAGGCCGAGACGGCAUCGAAGCAACUGCCGAAUAGCGUUCUUAGCGCCCCGACAUCGUCGAAAGGUGGGUGGUGUCAUCCCGAAGCAACCGGGUUCCUCUCUAUGUCUUAGUAUACCAUGAUUUCGCAUCUCUUGCAUGUUGCAUUGUAUUCCAUCCCUUAUGCUUUCUAAUUGAUAUCAUAGUGUGAGUUGAAUACUCGGUAUUAUGGAUAGAUGAGGAUUGGGUCUUGACGUUGAAUUCUAUAGUGCCGAGGAAAAGAGAUGGACUCGAUAGUUUCCUAAUGACAUAAUGAGUGGCAUGUGAUUGACAAAUGAACAGAACGAGUGGCAUAUAAUGUAGUGUACAAUGACACUAGUGACAUAUGAACUUAGAGAUAGGUGGACUCCCUAGUGAUGACUCAUUGAACAAAGAACAUAGUGUAGUUAAACAUUUACACAUGGACAUUGGGAUAGGUGGAUUCCUGAGUGACUACUAGCCCUAGUUGAUAGGGUAUCCUCGAGUUGAGAGGAUGGAUCAUACUCACAGUCUGUUUAUACUUGUGGUGGUCGCGCCACACAAGUCGUCGUGCACUCCGGAGUUUGGCGCGAGAGGGGCAGAGUUGAUGUCCCUCAGACGGUCCCUGGUUUGAGAGCGAGGUGAGUCUCUUUACCAUACGGGAUGGCGAGGUGAGUCGAAGGCGAACCCAAGGGAUCGCCAAGGAUUGGAUAAACAAGAGAAUAUCACUGUCAUUGAACAUUUGCUUAUUGGACAUUGUAGUGGACAUAGUGGCAUGUUAGUAAACCAUUUACUAUAUGAUGCAUGCAUGCAUUACCUGUGAUUGGGCAUAGUAGCAUAGUGUUCUUACUAUGGCAUUUACCGUUUUCUUAUCUAUCUAUCUAUCUAUCUGCUUUUACCCACUCGGACCUAGUGGGGAGAUCGACGGAGUCGGCGGCCGAACCUACUGGGAACUAUGGACAAUAGUUCUCACCCCACUUUGUUGCAGGACCUAGUUCGAGCGGCCCGUGCGAGGACCGCGGCAAGGGUAUAGCGCCCGAGCAGUAGUAUAGUAGCUUUCCUUUUGCAUUUGCAUACCCUAUGUAUUUGAGAGACUUAUGUAGGUGAGGAUUUGGAGAGCUAUGUAUGUAUUUUGAUGAUGGCCUAGUAGCAAUUGUAUCCAUUUUGGAAAGAUGUAAUGUAAUUGAGGUAAAGGAAUGCAAUGUGGUGUAAUAGCUAGUAAAUCUCUCUUUUGUUCACUUGUAUGCAUAUGUGACUCUUGCUCUUAGUUGUUGGCACUUGUUGUGCCCUUCGUUGAUUGUGUAUGUAUAGAAUUUCUAUUCCUGGGCAAAUUCUUAUACACGAUCUGGUUGUUUGGCCUUGGGCUGACAGGGGAGGUGCUGUCCGUUCGGCGUCUGUUCAACACGCCCGAACUGGACCAAAUUGGUAGCGGUCUCUAGGCGUGACACUUAGGAAUGAAAAACCUUAAGGAUCUAGGAGACGUGAGUGACAUGGAAUUAAAAUAUAGUGAAAGCUUAUGAUUGAGUUAAUGUUAGCAUGUCUCUAAUGUGGUCAGGGACUAAAUUUAAGUUGUUAUUUGUUUUUUUUUUCUUGUGUUGUGAUCGGCGGCUGACGACAUGAUGCUUGGGAUGAAAAUAAAUACACUUGUUUGCUUUCGCUGGAUUGGGUAAAUUCGAGUAUGUUGGUUAAGUAUCUAAUGUAAUUGCUUCAUUUCAGGAAGCAAUGCUGCCUCGUGGACGACCUAAGACUCCUCGUGGUCGACCUCAGAAAUGAUCCAUGGCUGAAGAACCGAGUGCGGCUCCCGUGCAACCCGGAGGGGGUGGCGACGGGGAGCUUCGGGAGCAGAUGGCCGCGCUUAUUGGCGUAGUGCGGCAACAAGCGGAGUCCGUUCAGUGCCAAGGGGAGCAAAUCCAAAGGCUCCAGGACGCCUUAGAGCGGCAGCAGACGGCGGCGGCACAAGUGGAGGCCGAGCAUCCUGUGCCCCCUGCAGUGGUGCCGAUGGUGGCCGAGAGAGUAGCGGCGGGGGUGGCCGCGGCGGCCAUUCCAGUUACGACAAUACCGGCCGGAUCGGGGACCUCAAACUCCAAUAGUGCGGCGGUGGAGGCGGAGCGGGAGCAUGCGUUAGCAGCUCUCAUAUAGUUUAAUAAGUUCAACCUACCUAUCUUCGAAGGGGGGGUGGUGGAACCGGCGGUGGUGGAGUCAUGGAUCGACUCCAUGGAGACGCUCUUCGAGGACUUGUAUAUCUUGGAGAAGGACAAGGUGUACCUCGCCACACAUUGCCUUGAGAAGGCGGCGAAGGUGUGAUGGAAGCGAGUUAAGCGGGAUGGGUCUCCCGAUCUUCCGCCUAUGAUGUGGGAGGAGUUCAAGAGGGCGGAGGGCGGUGUUCGCCAAUUACUUCCCCGACACUGUGAAGCGGAAGUUGCAAGAAAAAUUUCGAAAGUUGAGGGAGGGAGAUCUGUUACGCCCCGGGGUCCCUUUGGGUUUGAAAGUACAGCGGAAGUAACUGAAAAUUUUUUUGUUUGAAAACCUGACCCCAAGGUAUGCCAGAUCCGCCACAAAUACAGGGAAUCCACUGUUCACACGGACAGAGUCUCCCCUGUAUUUGCACGGCGUCACACAAGUACAAAAGUACAAACGGGAUACAACCACUAUCACUGAAUAUACAAAUAUCCGUUCAUUCAUACAUCCAUACACCAUUCACCAUAGGUUCAUAUACAGAUUUUGAAACUAUCAGUUGAAAUGUUUCCUACCCAGAAACCUAUUUUGAAAUACUAAGUCAAGAAAAAUCACGAGAAACUCUUUUGAAAGUUGUUUCCCACACGGAAACCUUUUCUUUUUAAAACACGCUACCACGAGGGGUAGAAAGCCUUUCUAUUUUACAAAAUUCCAAAAAAACUUUUAUUACAUUCAUGAAAACCCACAUAUUCAAAUAUAAUAAAAAUACUGAACCAUACAAACUGUCUAAGCUAUAACAACAGAAUAGUAAGGGUAGAAACUAAACCGAGUAACCUGGGUCGGAAGCUCUAUUGACCACUACGAACAUAUCUCACGUCUCGUCUCAAUCCUCACCGCCCGCAAUACCUGAAAAAAGGUGGGGAAGGUGAGAACAUGUAAACAUGUCUCCCCUCCCAGUGGGUACCGCAAGCCAACGAAGGCGAGGAGUACUCACCGGAUUAAGAAUAGAUAAACAAUAACAAGGGCAGAUAUACUAAAUACAGUAGCAACAAUAAUACAUGAACGGAAUGUAUAAGAACGACUACCGCUACUGUAAAGAAGAACAUAAAGCAUACAUGGGUAUCAAACUAUAGUAGCAAGAUAAGUAUAUAGAAAGAACUGUAAGUAUGCAUGCAACAACUGCUAUUAUAGACAUAUGCGUCAACCGAACGUAUAGACCAAAUAUACCCAAUCUGUACCGGCCGUAUGGUACCCAACACCUCAGGCCCAUGCCACAUCUGCUCUAAACAGAAACAAGCCAUAUUGGUACCUAUUACCUCAGGCUGAAAGCAUAUAACCCCUCUUGGGCUCACGGGUUGACACUAGCAACCACUUUUUCGGAAAAGAACACCCUCUUGCGGUGGCAAAACUGCUGGUGUUCGUGAAAUGCGUACGAGCAGUAGCGAUCGAUGCUGAAUGCUCAAUAACCAACCGUCGGCAACCAGUCGACAAUCCUGCCCCUUAGGGCUCACCGACCGUAUAGGUCAUCAACUGUAAGGAAAUAUAAGAACCGACCACUCUGGUCAACUAGGAUGGAAUAACUCAACAUCCUCCCAAAAGUAUGCAAGUACUACUCAAUAUCAACUAACUGUAUACUCAAGAACUGACCAAUAGGUCACACGAAUGUCACAUCAUGUAUCACUAAAAUCCAGAACUACCGUCAGCCACUAGCCGACAAUCCAACCCCUUAGGGUACACCGACCUCAACGGUCAUCAAACGACAAAAGUCAAGGAACCAAAUGAAUAGGUCACAGAUACGAGAUACAAGAACCGACCAACUAGGUCACUGAUCUCACAUGAAAAUACGAAACCGCUCUACACUAAACAAGAUACAGGAUAUGCAAAAUAACUAAGUAGAGAAGCAAGGAAAUAUGAUGUAACUACUCUACUCCUACUUAUGAUACUAGAUAUGAAAAACAACCGAGUAGAGUAUAAACAAACAACAUGGGUGCUAGGCUCAACACUAUAUAUAAAGAUAUAUAUGCCAGAUAACAACGAGAGAGCAAGGGUAAGAAACCAUCACCGAGCGUGCACCACUGUACCGACUUCGGAUCGAAGUACCCACCUGUACGAAUGUUGCGCCUGUCUCCUUACUGCGAAAGAAAGUCAACUGGACCUACGGAGGGUCCAUCGGGUUAGUAUCUAACCCACAACUAAUAACCACAGUAUCCACAACCCUACAACAAUUCCACGGAGAUCGGUUUCCCAAUACCGAUUACCGUAACUUGCCGGAAGUCCCGAAAAUCGCACCGGGACUCCGUCGGGACCCCUGAAAUGUCCUGGAACGCACUGACUCGUGCUACGAGUCAUCCGCUGCCACAAAACACAUCAAAUAAGAUGUCUUGGCAGUAAACACAAAGAUACACAACCAAACAACUAUUGGUGGAUAAUUGUUCGGAUCUAAGUUCCUGAAAGUGUCAAUUUCGACACCGGAACCCCCCCGUCGCUCACUCGUCAUUUUCGAACCCUCGAAAUGAUGCGAGUGACCAGCCAACAAGGCUCAGCGACUAAACAAUCCAUCACGAAGCACCGUCGGAAUAAUUCCGAACCGAACCCGCGUUCCGUCGUCGGAUUUCGCCGAGAAACGAGCCGGAAAUCACUUUUCGAUUUUUGUAAAUGCAUGGGGCCUUGGACAAUCAGUCCAGAGGUUACCCACAGCCCGCACACGUUGCCAACAGCGACCACAACCAUCAAAAAUGCGUAAAACCACCAGGUUACCCAAAAUCACAUUAUUUUAUGUGAUUUCGGGGCUUUUAUGGUCCGACUACGCAAACCGAAAGUUAAUCAGCCAAGCCGAGACACCCACUGACAGGUCUCGGCGUGCUGGAGGCCGUGCUCACCUUUCGGAGCACUUUCGGCCACUGAGGCAACCGCGCGAGCGAUGCGAAGUUCAGCGAAAACUACGCGCUGAAACUAAAACACCUCUAACUCACACAUCCGGAGCUCAUUGACCCUAAAUGAGGUGAGCACUGUGACCAGCACUGGCUGACGAUCACCGUGCUCACCUCCAGAGGCAUCGGAACAGCCUCGGGUUGCUGGCAUUGCGGUCAGAAUCGUAAACAGUGCACAAAACAGCAUAAACAAGCUUACCGGUCGGGGGAAGCUAGGGCACGGCCAACGGCGGCCGGACGGCGAGCGCGCCGGCAGGGCGAGGGUACUGCAAGUGUGGGGUGGCAAGGGCGUGUGUCGGCCGGCGACGGGAGGUGGCCACGGCGGGGGGGCAAUGAUGCCCUAGCCGCAUUGCAAAGAAGAAGCUUGGCUCGGGUCCGGCUAGCAGGAGGGCUCCGGCGGCGGGGGCGCCGGCGGCAACCCGGCGCGGCAGGCCAGGGGAGGCCGGCGCUCAUGCCGGCCGACGGCGGGAGGCGGCCUCNAAAAUUAAAAUUUAUAAUUUGAAAUUUGAAAAUUAAAAUUUGAAGUUUAAAAUUUAAAAUUUAAAAUUUGAAGUUUAAAAUUUGAUAUUUGAAAUUUAAAAUUUAAAAUUUAAAAUUUGAAAUUUGAAAACUAAAAUUUAAAAUGAAAUUUGAAAUUUGAAAUUUGAAAUUUGAAAUUUGAAAUUUAAAAAUUAAAUUUGAAAAUUAAAAAUUGAGAAUUAAAAAUUGAAAUUAUAAAUUAGAAAAUUUAAAAUUAGAAAUUUAAGAUCCAAUGCGGCGUCCUCUGCGACUGUCCUUCCUGACGCGACCCUCUGGAACGCUAACGUCCCGAAGACCCACGACCCUGAGAGCGUGAUUGUGGAGGUCUUGGCGGACGCCUGCUGCUCGACUGUCCUCCGUCAUCUGGAUCUGGGCGCUUCCUAUCCUGACUCUGCCCUGACACCUGGGUCCGCUCCCGAAUAGAUGCAUCACCUCUCUCCACUCACAAAGCCUGCUCAAUAGAUGCAUUCAAGGUCCUCAACCUCUGCGCAAGUACCAACCUGAAGAUCUCUGGUCUCAAGUCUCGCUCAAACAGAUAUACCCUGUGGGCCUCGUCUCUGGCUACAAAUGGCACAUAGUUCAGGAGUCAAGUAAACUCAUGGAUGUACUCCUGAACUGCUCUCUCUCCCUGCUGAAGCUUUUUCAGGUCCUCCUCGAGCUUCUACUUCAUGCUGCUUGGAAAGUAUAUCCCAUACAGCAUCCCGCAAAACUCAUCCCACUUCAUUUGCAAUGCCAUCAACCCUCGAUCUCGCCUCAUCCUCCUCCACCAAGAGUGUGCAUCGCCGGCCAAGCAGUGAACUCCCAAGUGUACCUGCUCCCGCUCAGGAAUAAACAAAUCCUCAAACAGCUUCUCCAUCGCGCUCACCCAGUCUUCUACGACACAGGGCUCUGUGCAGCUGCCGUCAUAGGUCGGCGGAUCAAAAUGGCAGAAACAAGCCAGCCUUUCAAUCAACCGCUCCUGCUCAGCCUCAGUCAUCUGUGACGCCUCUCCAGAAGAUGCAAAUUGCACAGUAGGAACUGUCACUGGUGGGUGUACAGCUGCGGCUGGUGCGGCCACUAGAGUAGUCGGGGGUGGAGCUGCCUGUUCUGGUGCUCUCGGUACUGCGCUCUGUGGCGGAGCUAAUGUCUCGCACAUCCUCUGCAACAACGCCCCCUGCUGCCUCGUCACCUCCAUCAGAGAAGCUAAUUGCUCUCUCAGAUCCGGGGGUGCACUCGACUAUAGUCGUGCACUCAGCUCUGCCGGCUCAGGCAUCUCAGAAGGUGCGGCGCUAUCCCUAGUCGGCGGUAGACCUCGGCGUCAAUACAUAGCUGCAAGAAAAGGACAUAAGGGUCAGAUACAAAAUACAAACACUCUCGACCCAAUAAAGCGAAAGUCUAGAAGUCGGCUCCUAUUUCUCCUCAAAAUUAUGCCGUCUGCAGCGGACAUAAUUUUCUUGGAUGAAAUAGACACUCCUUCAGUCACUCAUUCCGCCCUAGGAUGAGUUAAAGCAAAUCAAUCGCUGACUUUCGCGAUAAAUCACGCCUCUCGCGUCUUGCCUUCCUAAGGUUUACCAAACUUAGGGUUCCUAGGUCCUAAUGGCCUAAUGCUAUGCUUUGAUACCAACUUAAUCUGUCACGCCACGGAUUACUCGUUUCCCCGGGCACGCCGACAAAUCCGCCGUAUACAAAGGACUUUCUCCAGUAUACGAAGCGAUAGCUGUACCUAUACCUGUAAUCAUACAAUAUUACAACCAGUAGUAUAGAGCUGCUAAGAAGAAAAGCAUAUAUAAACAACAUCGGUUCAACAUACAUAUAUAGUAUCCUGGUACAAAAAUCACUCGCUCUAGCGAGACUGUCAUGCCCCGGAUUACACGUUUCCCCAGGCUCGAUAACAGACCCGCCGUAUACAUAGGUAUUUUUUUUGUAUACGAAGUGAAAAGUAGAAGUAUCUAUAAUCAUACAAUACCACAAACAGUAGUAUGGAGCAGCUAGGAAAAUAAACCGUAUCAAUAAAUACCGAGGUUCAAUACAUACAUGUAAUCCAGAUAUACAAAAGCUCGCUCUGGCGAGAUGCAACAACUGUAUGUAAAGACCCAAAAACUACAACUACCUAUAGCUGGUGCUCCUCUAGCUCUGCGACUCUCUGGAAGGGCUCUAACUCGCGACGUCCUUGCCAUGAUCGAGAUCAGCAACAGCAGCAGCCGAAGGCAACGCUCUGCAAAAACAGCGGUAACAACUGGGCGUGAGAACUACUACAAAAGAAGUAGUCCUCAGUGGGUACCGCCCUCAAACUCAUCGGCCCACUCACUAAGUCUACAGAAGGGAGCAAGGAUAGCAGAAAAUACUGGAAGAAAAUCGACAGCUAUAAACCACUACACUAUCAUGCUCUACACUAACCAACUGUAGAAAAUGUCAAUACCGACCGAAUCUCACUAGGACUGCAAGCAUACCCGUCCCUGGGACUGUGAACACACCCGUUCCGCCCGGUUACGACUAUACAGCUACCUCCACGCUGACACCAGUGGAGAGCAAGUCCAACAUGCACGAACAACACCAACGCAAAAGCACAAAGCCCGACUCCGGAGUGGCACUCGCGGGCGCUACCCAACUGAGUAUGCAAGUGUAUCUCUGUCGAGCUUAAUCAAGCUCUCUCAAGCUAACAUCAAGUGAACAGGGUCUAACGAGUAACUCACGUGCCCUAGGCACAAUCUGAGACUAAAAAUAAUCUGGGUCCACCGUCAACCCCGACGGCACCCGACAAUCCGAAAUAGCCUAGACUCUGCUGUAAAAAAUAAGCUCGGCAUCUCAGCACGAGCGUAAAUGCAUUCUAAACUAUCUCGAGUACCCAUCGCGCUGAAACAGCGGUGAUACAAUCAAAAUACGGCUCCUAGAGCUAAAUUAGGUAGUAGAAGCAUAUGACGGAUCAAAACGCUGGUUUUCUCCUAAGUCAAGUUCCAAAUCCAACAUGUAUAAUUUAUCUAAUUACUAAAUAUGCUCCAAAUUCAGAUUUAUAUAUUUACAUACUCAUCGAUGAAUUUGAGCUACAGCAUGACAACAAUAGCCGCAUAUCAUACACGUCGACUAACAUGCACUUAGAAGCGAAACCAAUGAUACACCCACCCCAAAUGCUCUUUCCAGGCAGCAAGGAGGUCUCGGAACUGCUGUGAGACUCAGCUGAAAUCACACCAAAUCAGCAAUUGGAAUACUUGAAGGAUCUAGCGUAGAAAUCCACAAAAAUUCAAUAAUUCAGCACUUAAGCUUAAAUUAGUUCAAUUACAAUGCUAAUUUCACUAGAUUACCUUCAAAUCAGCAGUAGCAAGGUUCCCUCAGCAGUGAAAUAGCUGUAGAAAGUUUCUCUGGUUCAAGACUACUCUUCUCCCAAGAUCUGAACCUAAUAUAUCCAAGUUGCAUCAAUAACAAUGCUAAUUUCAGCACUUAAGCUUAAUUAACCCAACUCCAAUGUCAAAACUCACCUAAUUACAUCCAAAUCUGGUGAGGAGGGUCUCAAAUCUAGUGAAGUGCAUAGAAGUAUCAAGCUCAGGUCCAAAAUCCUACUGCCUUUACAGCUAACCUCAAUAAAAUCCAAGAAAUUCCAUUUUUAGCUCAAAACUGCAAGCAGCAAGGAAAAAUAGGAAAUCGACAAAGCUAACCUCAACCAAACUCGGCAAAUCUGCCAAAAACGUUGAAACACACUCGUGCUCUGGAUUCCUCUAGAAGUCUAGAAUCCAGCAAACCAAGUUUCGUCGUAAUCUGAUCUUCCUACGUCACACACGAGCCAAAACACCGAAGGUCGUCGCAGGAAAACUGCAGAAUCAGCACUCAAUCACAUUCAAACUGAUGAAUUGGAUGAAAUCCAAAGGAAAUCGAGGAGUGGAGAAGAAAUCAGAGGUGCUACUGAGAAGAGAGAGUGAAAAGAGCUCACCAAGGUCACUCUCCACCUAUUUAUAGGGUGCUGGAAUUGUAGAAUAAGCCCCAAGAACAGCUGCUGCAAUUUGGUGUCCCUACAGACUCGGGCAUUUCCGGGCGCCCGAACUCACAUUAUGGGCGCCCGAAUCCUCCAGGCUACACAAAGCUUCCUCUUCGGACUCUUCGCCCGCGGUGUGCUGUGCCCAUAUCUGGCUCUGGCGGACCUCACCAACCACCAGCCACGUGUCAGCACAAUCGAUACACACAAGGUGCACUUUCGGACUCACAUUCGAGCGCUCGAAACAUGGACCCGAAUUGGCUUCCAGUUCUCAUCAGUUCUGCACUCAACUUCUGGGCGACCCAAAUCCAGUUCUGGGCGUCCGAAUCUGGCAAAACUCCAGUUUUGCUUAUUUGAGUGCCCGAGUCCAUUUUUGCAUCCAUUUCGUGCAGAAUUGACUCCGACUCAAUCUGACACUCUCCAGAUGUGUUGACUAGUCAAUAAUAUUACAACCAAUCCUAUCCAAACCUCCGGAACACUACAGAGACACUAACAUCAGUAUGUAUAAGAACCAAAAACUACAACUACCUGUAGCUGGUAUAUCUCUAGGUCAGCAGCAAAACGGAAAGGAAUUUAGCUCGCGACUUCCUUUCCACGAUCUGUAUCUGCAACAGCAGCAGCCGAAGAAGAGGGCUCUACAAAAAGGAUCUACAACUGGGUGUGGGAACUACUGUAAAAAGAAGUAGUCCUCAGUGGGUACCGCUACCGACCUUAACGGCUCAUCCACUAAGUCUGCAGAGGUAAGCAAUGAUAGUAAAGAAAGCUGGAACAAAUCUACAGUUAUAUGCCACUAUACUAUCGUGAUCCAACACUAACUAUUUGUAGAAAAUGCAAAUUCUGACCCAAUCUCACUAGGGACUGUGAAUACACCCGUCCCGCCUGUCGAAGUUACAUUAACAACCACCACAUUAGGUAGUCAGUGGAGAGCCAGUCCAAUCAGGACACAAUGACACCAACAAAACAGCACUGAGCCCGACUCCGGAGUUGCACUCGUGGGCGCUACCCAACCGAGUAUGCAAGCGUAUCUCUGUCGAGCUCAAUCAGGCUCUCACAGGCUAUAGUCAAAGUAGAAGGGUAAAAUUGAUCUAACCACCAAAACUCACGUGCCCUCGGCACAAUCUGAAGCAAAAAAUACAAUCUGGGUCCACUGUCAACCUGAACGGCACCCGACAGUCCGGAACAUUCUAAACACAGCUGUAAAAAUAAGCUCGAUAUUCCAGCACGAGCGUAAAUUUAUUCUACACUAUCCUGGAUAUCUACCGUCCACAAACUGCGGCGAUACAACACAAACUAUGGCUCAUAGAGCUAAAUCUGGUAGUUUAAGAAAAUGACGGUGUAGAAUCGAUAGUUUUUUUCUAAGUCAAGUUCCAAGUCCAACAUGUAUAAUUUAUCUAAAUCACUACUGUAUGCUCCAAAUUCAGAUUUCAAUUAACAUGCAAAUCAACGAAUUCGAGCUAGAUAACAUGGUAUACAAAGACUAAAAAAUAUACAUGCUGACAUCGACUAGGCUUAGGAGGAAAUCCGUAGAAUCCAGUAAGCAUAUCAUUAACUCACCUCUAGCACGAGCUCGACGACAGCAAGCAACUGCUGAAAACCUUUGUUGAGACCAGCCUCCAACCAGCAAUAAAUCUCUCUAAGGAUCAAAGCACAAAAAUCCCAAAGUUUCCAUCAAUACUCUAGAUUUCAGCACUUAAGCUUAAAUUCAUUAAGAUUGCAAUGUCAAACUCACCUUCCAAUCUUCAAUUCAGUUGAGGAAAGGUGCUAAAACCAGUGGAGUAUGAUGGAGCAACCUUCUCUGGUUCGAAAUGCAACUUCUUCCAAGGAUUGAUCCAAGAAAACCAUAAAAAUACAAAUUUCAGCUCCAAUACAGCAGCAGUCUGCAAAAACAGUAAAUUGACAAUGCAAACCUCAAUCAAAUGCUGUCAAAUGAGCCCCACGAAAUCUCCAAGAAGUCUAGUAACCACCAAACCAAAUUUCACAGCAAACGGAGCUUCUUACGUCGCACACGAGCCAAAACACCGAAGGUCGCUGCUGGAAAUCUACAGAAACUGCAAUUCUCAAGGUGGAAUGGUGUAAUUUGGAGUAUUUGGAGGACUAGAGUGCAAAAUAUGAGCUUCUCUGUAAGGAAGGGUGAAAAAGCUUCUCAGGGGAUCGCACACAAGCUUUUAUAAGGAGGUGCAAUGGUCUGAUAAGCCCCAAGAACAAAAACACUAACCUGCUGUCCCUGCAGAACUCUACAUUUUCGGGCGCCCGAAAUUAACUUCUGGGCAUCCGAAACUUCUAGAUCAAUACAGCACUCCUUCGUUGGUUCCUUCGCCUGCGGUACGAUGUGCCCAAACAUGGUCCGGCGGACCUCACCUACCACCAUACACGGUCAGCAUAGUCGAUAAUCCCAAAGUGAACUUUCGGGCCCAUUUCUGGGGACCCAAAAACAGGAUCCGAAUUGGCUGCCAGUUUUAUUUCAGUUCACGUUCAGUUCUGGGCGACCCAAACCAUGUUCUGGGCUCCCGAAACUGGCAAACUUCAGUUUUGCUUAUUUGAGUGCGCCGAGUGCGUUUCCGCAUCCAUUUUGUGCAAAAACGACUCCAAUUCAGUCCGACACUCUCCAGAUGUAUCGACCAAUCGCUAAUACUGUAGCCAAUCCGAUACCAAACCCCCGGGACACUGCAUAUAAAUUAGAAAAUUUAAAAUUAGAAAUUUAUUAUUUGUAAACUAAAAUUUAUAAUUUGAUAUUCGAAAAUUAAAAUUUGAAUUUAUAAAAUUAGAAAAUUUAAAAUUAGAAAUUUAUUAUUUGUAAACUAAAAUUUAUAAUUUGAUAUUCGAAAAUUAAAAUUUGAAUUUAUAAAAUUAGAAAAUUUAAAAUUUAAAAUUUGACAUUUAAAUCUUAAAAUUAUAAAAUUUAAUUUUUGAUAUUUAAAAUUUAAAAUUCAAAUUUUAAAUUUGAAAUUAAAAGUUUGAAUAUAAAUUAAAUUAUAAAAUUUAAAAUCUAUGUUGAAAUUUAAAAUUUUAUGUUGAAAUUUUAAAGUUAGAACUUGAUGCAUCUUUGUCCAAGAAUGGUAAAAUUCUUUUUUUUUGUUAGAGUGGUUUAUAAUUUUACUUCAUUUUUUGAUAUAGUUUAACUAUAUACCAAAAAUUACUUUUUUUUUUCUUCCAAACGCUUCAUAGAAUAAUUUUUCUACCGAUGUAGCAUAGUUUUAAGGGUAUCCAAACAGAGCCUAAUUAUACAAGGAGAUGCUGGCCUGAGUGAAAGGCUAGGCAAACUUCGCCUGUCCUCUACCUGCCAAAUGAUCACAACUAGCUAUGAUACUUAUGCAGUGAGUACGUAGUACCCUAUAUUAGUUGGUCUUUAAUUAUUUUCAUGUUGUUCUUGUUAGCUCUUCUUCCAGGAACCGGUUUUGUGGAUUUCUCAGUGCUUAAGAUUUAUGGGUGCCAUCCACGGUCCUUGCCGACUUGACAAGCUGAACAAUGAAAACAACAAUCAACCAGAUCAGGAGGAAAAACAGAAGGCGUACGAGAGAGCAGCCCAAAACCUAACGAUUGCCUCGGUACUUAUCGCUACCGUGACAUUUGCCGCAGCUUUCACCAUGCCGGGAGGUUAUAAAGCUGACGACCACCCAAACGGAGGCACACCAACUCUAGCAGGAAAAUAUGCUUUCAACGCGUUCAUAAUCUCGGACUCCUUAGCAUUUGUUUGCUCCAUCAUGGUCACGUUCUUGCUUACGUAUGUUAGCUCAUUUAGGGCAGAUCCUUCUGUUCGCAUUAAACUCAUCAUCCGCUCCUCCAUUUUCCUAUCCGUGGCCAUAAACUAUAUGAUGGUCGCAUUCGCAAUGUCGGUGUAUGUUGUGCUGGCUCCAGUUAGUACUCCCGUUGCCAUUCUUGUCUUCAUAUUCUCUUUCGCUUUGAUCCCAUUGUCUGCAGGUCCACAAAUAGGACAGCUUUACGGUCUGUUAAGCGCACUAAGGUCCAGACAUGGAUGGUUCGAUCUGAGCUUUGUAAUUUGCUAUUUCAUCUUGGUGACGGUGGUAGAGAGUUUAGUAGUAUAUGGCAGCAUCUUUCUCUUAUCGCUUCUGGCAGGGAUUCAUCAAUCUCAUAAUUCGCAUUAGGUCUUUUUCUUCUCAGUUGUUUGUUGUACUUUUUAUUGGUAUUUGUUUUUGUACUUUUAUUUGAGUGUCCUUGUUUGUGUUUGCUUCAGGGUCCUGGUUAUAUGUUUGGGUCAAUUAUUAAAUAAGCUUGUUCGGAUUAAAAGCCAGCAGGGCUUUUAAAGAGUCUGUGUUAAAAAAUGUGCCUAGCUAGGGCACUCCUUAUUAUAUAUGAUGAGUGAAGUUAUAAGUUUUCUUGUUUAAAUCACAUUUUUCCAUGAAUUACGUACAAGCAGCCAGGUGCGACGUAAGUAUUUUCUAUUUAAUUCACUUCUUCAUCAACUCUUCAAUUGACAAUAAGAGCUUGUUUGGUUCAUAUAAUUUAGAUUCUGAAAUCGAAUGAGAUUCAGUAGUUUCGACAAUAUUGGGUGGUGUCAUUACAGGCGCUUGUAAGCCUACCAUCGGCUGCUCAUUCCGAAUUAAUAAUUAUCCUAUUCGCGCGAUAUUCUCCUUAGAGGCCGUGAUUGCGGCCAACACUGCAUCUAGCCGUGCAGUGCUAGUAUGGCAUAUAUAUAUACAUACAUAUGUAUAUAUAUAUAUGUACAUAUGAACCAAACAAGCUCAAUUGACAAUAAGAGCUUGUUUGGUUCAUAUAUAUAUAUAUAUACAUAAUAUAUUUNUAGAUCAUCCAGGAUGCUCACGGACGGAGAUAGAGGUGGCUAGGUAGUAGGUGUGAUGGAGGAGGUGGAGGAGCAGCCAGCUCCGGCGGCCGGCGGCGUGCUCAGGUGGCCGGGGCAUGCGCAAGAAAAGCUGGGGAACAAGAGGGAGGCGGCUGGGUUAAGGUUGAGGAAGAGAGAGACCUAGGGUUAGGGUUUCCAUGGAGAAACCCUAAGUGGUCACUUUUAUGCAAAUGGCCAAUUCGCACAAAAGUCCCCCGAAACUCAGUAUUUCGUACUAAGACCUUCACAUCGCGUGUAUUUUGCGCGUACACACCUUGUCGUCCAUUCUCACGCGAUUCGGUACAUAAAAUGUCGGGCUUUUCGCGAAAAUACUGUUUCUCCACUUGUGACCCUUCCUCGAUAAUCAUGCGAUAUCAGGAGAUCCGUUCGUCAGAUUUGCAGACGGAUCGCACCAGUGCGAUCAGCACGACAGAUACAUCAAAUUCAGGAUUUUGUUUUGUCCAAAUUGGUUGCCGAUUUGCGACAAAACCUACCCUCAAUACAUUCACCAUAAAACACACACACACACACACACACACAUAUAUAUAUAUAUAUAUAUAUAUAUAUAUAUAUAUAUAUAUAACCAAAGAAACCCCUUUAUCUCGAAAAUCGUGCAUCAGAUCUAAAAUCCGUCAGNNNNNNNNNNNNNNNNNNNNNNNNNNNNNNNNNNNNNNNNNNNNNNNNNNNNNNNNNNNNNNNNNNNNNNNNNNNNNNNNNNNNNNNNNNNNNNNNNNNNNNNNNNNNNNNNNNNNNNNNNNNNNNNNNNNNNNNNNNNNNNNNNNNNNNNNNNNNNNNNNNNNNNNNNNNNNNNNNNNNNNNNNNNNNNNNNNNNNNNNNNNNNNNNNNNNNNNNNNNNNNNNNNNNNNNNNNNNNNNNNNNNNNNNNNNNNNNNNNNNNNNNNNNNNNNNNNNNNNNNNNNNNNNAUAAUUUAUUCGAGUUUGGAUUCGGAUAAUAUUUCGGAUAUUCAAACCUAUUGACAUCCCUACUCCUUAUUCCACUUUUCAAUAUAUAAAAAAAAUACGUACUAAACACGGUGAACCAUUCACCGUGUUUGAACACGGUGAAUGGUUCACCGUGUUCAACUUAACACACGCGUCCCGUCCUACCCGCGUGGCGCUGACGUGACGUAUGCGUGGCAGGUCCAGAGCCAAUUUGCAAAUUUAAUUUUGACAGAGCUAUUUUUAAAAUAAAAAUUUGCCGGGGUCUAAAUGCAAAAAAAGCCCAAAAAAAAAAAACAGAAGAAAUGAAGGGGGAGGAUCGCCCACCCUCUUCUCCUUCGUUUCACCGCCAAAUCCCGGCAUCCCGCCGCGCCGUACGCGAAUCCCCGAGAUCGCGGGGGUACGACCUUUUCCCAAUCGGAUCCCGGCGAUCCUGUGAAGCCCGCCGAAUCCACCAGAGAUCUGCCCCGUACACAGAUCCCGCGAAUCCCGCGCCCCAAAUCUCACCAGCGCACCGUCUCGUUACUCCGCGCCGCUCGCUGAGCCGGAGAUCCCGCAAAUCCCGCUAUCCCGUACGCAGAUCCCGGAGAUCACGCGUCGGCCGCCGUCAGUCGCGUCAGCGAAUCUCGAGGGCCAUGCUGAAAAUCUCGCCAUUGUCGCCGCUCGCGAGCCCCGUCGACAUCACUGUACACAGAUCCCGCAGAUCUAGCCGCGGAUCACGUCGAGCCAUCUUAUCACCGUCGAUCACCGGUGGAGAUCUGGGGAUUUGGUUCCUCGGAGCCCCUAUAAAACGGCGUCGGGGAGAGACGAGCGAAGGGGGCCCAGGGCAUACAACCCAUCCACACAUACACAGGAAGAGAGAGAGAGAGAGAGAGAGAGAGAGAGAGAGAGAGAAGUAACAGAGUAGGAAGAAGGGGAAGAAGAAAGAGAAAGAUAAGGAUAAGGAGAAGGAGAAGUAAAAAAAAAAAGAAAAAGUAAUAAAUAAAAAAAAAAGAGAGAGAAGGGAAGGCUUGGCGUUGCACACCGCCCGUCCAACCCCGCCGCCGCCGCCGCCGCCGUCGACGACGAUGGCGCCAUCCAACAAAGCAGCACCCACCUGAGGUGGGUGCAAAGAUAGUAGUAGAGUACCAUUUUUCUUGAAUAUAUCCAAAUGUACCCUAAACUAGAAAUCCUAGUAAAUUCCAUAAUUAAUUUUCUGUUGAAUCAUAUUUGGGGUAAUUACUUGGUUAGUUUUGUUGCCUACACACAAUUAUAACUUUAUUCAGGAAAAUCAUCGUAACACCUUUUGUUAUCAGGAGUAUUUAUAUAUUUUGUUAAAAUAAUAAUAAUAAUAAGUUUUCCACCUUUGAGAAGUCAUGCAUAUGCCUAUAUUACUAUUUUGAUUAACCUUUCACAAGUUGCAUUAUGUUAAACUGUCUCAACUACCACCAAGUUUCUUUCCUAACUAGUAUAACAAAACUGUGAUUUUAUACAACUCUGAAUAGUUCUGAUACAAUUUUACUGAUAANAUAUAUAUAUAUAUAUAUAUAUAUAUAUAUAUAUAUAUAUAUAUAACCAAAGAAACCCCUUUAUCUCGAAAAUCGUGCAUCAGAUCUAAAAUCCGUCAGCGCCAUUGGUUCCAGAAUAGCUGAACUGGUCGAAACAAGCAAUUGGAUCGCUAUGAUCGGAGUCCGAUACGCACCAGAAGCCAACUCUACUCCGUGGCUUCUCCGAAAAAUCGGAGUUACUAUUCACUUAAGUGAAUACUAAUGAUCGCGUAACUUCUCCGUUCUAACUCGUUUUCUUCUGAAACUUGAAAAGUACUUAUGUAAUUAAAUUACACACAAAAACAUCGUCGACAGAGAGUUCAGCUACACUGUCAAAAUCUCAGUCCUUACAAGAUCGCUCGGUAGCAGGAGUUCUCCCACAUCAUUGACUGUGUCCCGGAUGUUGUUUGGGAUGACCGGGACCGGGCCGAUUGGUUCUUGCGAAGACUUUGACCGAGAAUUUAUAGGGUCGUGCAGAUUCUCAAGCUCACGACCUUUGUUGAGGUCUUUGAUAGAGCCUUGUGGGCAGAGCACGGCGAUGCCCACGUACGUGAGGAGCGCGAGUCCUCAGCCAAGUCAAGGGACAAGAGCAAGAAGCGGGCAACGGGCGGCCUCUCGGUAUCCUCAACAGCAGUCGAAGAACGGGAGGACUUCCCGAUGCGUGAUUUGCGGCGGCAAUCAUCGAUCGUCGGCUUGCCCGCAAGGCGAAGGAACGUGCUUCAAGUGCGGUCAAGCGGGACAUAUGAUUCGUGAGUGCCCGAGAUGGGCGUCAUUUGCACCGACGGCGGCAUUAGUUCCUUCUACCCGCAGACAGCUUGCGGGGUUACCACCGGCGAUGUCGGUUGGGCGCUCAUCUUCAUCGCGUCAGCCGAAGGCAUCUAGAGCACCGAGUAGGCAAAUUUUUGCCACUCAGGUGAAGGAGCUGAUUGCCGUCCCCGAUGACGUCGUGGCAGGUAUUAUCUUGAUCAAUGGCACUAGAGCUAAAGCUUUAUUCGACACGGGUGCAUCGCAUUCAUUCAUAGGUGCAUCAUUUGCGAAAACUCAUGACAUAGAGAUCAUGCAUAACGAGGACUAUUGGUCAGUGAGUACACUUGAGCAUUCGUUCCGUGUCCAUGAUGAGUACUUAGCUUGUUCGGUACAGAUAGGUGAUUGGAUCAUGCUGAUAGACCUAUUGGUGUUAAACCAGAUGUGGGGCUUCGAUGUAAUCUUGGGGAUCAAUUGGAUCUCCAAGUAUUAUGCCGUGAUAGAUUGUGAAAGCAGGGUGAUCACGUUCCGUGAGCCUAAUCAAGAAGAGUUAGUGUACCGGGCAUGUAAAAGCAAGCGCUUCGCGGCAACCGUAUCAGCGGCGAGAGUGAGAAAAAUGAUUAAGGGUGGAUGUGUAGCCUACCUGGCGGCAAUGGUAGAAGCCCAAAAGGAGCACCCGGAGCUUAGUGGUAUUUGGGUAGCGUGUGAGUUUUCGGAUGUAUUCCCGGGGUGGUGCCAAUUUCGAAGGCUCCAUAUAGAAUGGCACCGACGGAGCUAAAAGAGCUAAAGGCGCAGUUGCAAGACUUGCUCGAUAAAGGCUUUGUGAGGCCGAGCGUGUCACCGUGGGGAGCUCCAGUGCUAUUUGUGAGGAAAAAGGAUGGCUCAUUUCGAUUCUGCGUGGAUUACCGCGAGUUGAACAAGGUCACAGUUAAGAACAAGUACUCAUUGCCAAGGAUUGAUGAUUUAUUCGAUCAGUUGAAAGGGUUGAGGGUGUACUCGAAGAUAGAUCUUCAAUCGGGGUAUCAUCAGUUGAAGAUACGGCCCAAGGAUGUGCACAAAACGGCGUAUCGUACGCGGUAUGGCCAUUAUGAGUUCACGGUUAUGCCGUUUGGGCUUACUAAUAUCCCGGCAGCAUUCAUGGACUUGAUGAAUAGGGUCUUUCGACCGUUGCUAAAUCGGUGCGUCGUGGUGUUCAUUGACGACGUGUUGGUCUAUUCAUGGAGUGAGGAAGAACAUGAGGAGCACUUGAGGACCGUGUUGGAAAUACUACGCAAAGAGAAGCUUUAUGCAAAAUUAAAGAAGUGCGAAUUUUGGCUUUCGGAGGUUACCUUCCUAGGCCACGUGAUUUAGGGUGAAGGCAUCUUGGUGGAUCCGAUGAAAGUAGAGGCAAUUAAAGAUUGGCCUCACCUGACGGGUGUAGCGGAGGUCCGCAGUUUCCUUGGACUAGCGGACUACUACCGGCGGUUCAUGGAAGGGUUCGCCAAAUAAACCACUCUACUAACGCACCUCACACACAAGGGAGUGAAGUAUGUUUGGAGCGACGAUUGCGAUCGGAGCUUCGAGGAGUUAAAGAAAAGGUUGACAUCGACCCCGGUGCUUGCUCUACCGACGCCGUGGGAGACUUUUGUAGUAUACAGUUAUGCUUCAUAUAUCGGUCUCGGGUGUGUCUUGAUGUAAAAUGGCCGAAUUAUAGUUUAUGCUUCGUGCCAAUUGAAGAGAUAUGAAAAGAACUACCCGAUUCAUGAUCUAGAGUUAGUGGCGGUUAUUUUCGCGCUAAAGUUAUGGAGGCAUUACUUGUAUGAUGAACACUGUGAGAUCUACACGGAUCACAAAAGCCGUAAAUAUUUGUUCACCCAAAAAGAGUUGAACACAACAACGGCGGUGGUUAGAGUUAUUAAAAGAUUACGACGUUACUAUUCUAUACCACCCCGAGAAGGCAAUUGUCGGGGCCGAUGCACUUAGUAGAAAAUCGGGGGAAAACUUGGCUUCGGCAAUUAUACCCCAACCGUUGUUGCAAAAGGAGAUGUAAUGGCUCGGAUUAGUAGUAGUAGUGCCGGGAGUGCCGGAUACACUUGCCGUGUUGGUGGUACAAUCGAUCUUGUUGGAGAGGAUAAAAGAGUUGCAAGCUUCCGAUGAGUAUCUCCAAAAGGUGCGUGGAGAAGUUGAGAGCGGUAGUGUCGAUAAUUUUGGCGUUGGGACCGACGACACCCUUCGAUUCCGAAAUCGAUGGUGUGUUCCCAAGAACGAGGACAUUCGAAAGGCGAUUAUGCAAGAAGCGCAUCAAUUUUCUUAUAGUAUUCACCCGGGCGGCAUCAAGAUUUACCAAGAUUUAAAAGUGCACUAUUGGUGGCCGAGCAUGAAGAAAGACAUUGGAGAGUUCGUGGCACAAUGUCUUACGUGCCAACAAGUAAAAGCGGAGCGGCGGUUUCCGGCGAAAAAAUUGCAAAUCUUACCUAUACCCGUUUGGAAAUGAAAAAAUAUCGCUAUGGUCUUCGUGACCGGUUUCCCCCGAUCUCAAGGUGGACAUGACGCAAUUUGGGUGAUAGUAGACCGGUUGACGAAGUAGGUGCAUUUCCUACCGAUUCAUAUUACAUGGUCGGGGGACAAGUUGGCUCAAGUAUACAUGGACGAGGAUGUGAGACUUCAUGAGGUUCCGGUAUCAAUUGUAUCGGAUCGGGACCCGAGAUUCACAUCUCACUUUUGGAGGAGUCUACGGGAGGCAUUGUGUAACAUACCAGAUUUUGGUAUAAAGAUAAAAAUAAAUAAAAAUAGUGUGAGAAACUAUUUUUAUUGGAUUUGUAGAAGUAAAACAUAAGUCAGAAGUGACUUGUGCUGAAAUCGGAAUGAAAACAGAAGAUUUAGAAUUUUCUGUUGGAAACGGGACAGAUAAAUUAGCAGAAAAUACACAGUCUCAGAAAAUUAUGAAAAUUGGAGGAUAAGUCAGAAAUAUUUUUAUGAGGCUAGAUUUAAAGUUUCAUAUUUUUCUGACACCCGUAGAGUGAGAAAUAAAAUCCGACAGCUAUCUGAUAAAGAUUACAGUUCGGUACAGUUUUCGGUGACCAAAUGGGGUCGAAACUGAAAACUUAAAAUAUAUUCUUGCUCAGUACGUAAAACUGAAUAUGACUGUCAAGUUUGAGCUCAAACGGACAUUUAGGGAGCUCCGGCGAAAGUUAUCAGAUUUCAAGCUGCCUGGAGUGAAUAGUGUUUGAGGGGUAUUAUAUAGAAGCUGAUGCUUCUUCUCCCUCAACCGUGCGCCACACACACACCCGCACGCCACACACGCACACACGCUUGGAGAGGGAAAGAGAGAACCCACCCAUUUUCUCUCUAAAUCUCUCCCAAAAUUGAAGGUUUUGGUGGAGAAGCAAGCUUGGAAGUUGAUCUUCAUCUUCUUCGUCUUCUUCCUCUCCAUUAGAGCAAGCUUUGAAGGUAAGCUUCAAACCCUUUAAUGGCAUUUCUCUCUAGUUUGGUUUUUAAGCUCUAAGAAUGGAUUUAGAGGUAUUCUAGCAUGCUAAUUAGAGGUUUGAUGCUUGAAACCAAGGCUCUAAUGGUGGAUUUUUACCUAGUUGUAAUCUAGGGCUCAAAAAUGCUAGUUUUGUAAAUAUGAGGGUUUGAUCUCAUUUGACCCUCUGUAAACCUAAUUGCUAGGUAAACGAACGCGUUGGCGAAGUCGGUUCGGCGAUUCGUCGAGCCGUUGCGAAGUUAUUAAAGAAACGGACGUUUAGGCUUCGUUUCCGCCUGGAGGGCCGAGGCGACAUCGUAAACCCAUGAAAACGGAUUUGAAGCAUCGUGGCACAUAACCGAAGACCUUUAAUUUUCGGAUCGUGAAUUGGAGGCCGUUCGGGUGGUCGCGCGAGAGAUCGGGCCAAACCGGGUGCCGGGUGCCGCGGGAGGCCGAUUGCAAGUGUCGACAAGCAAUCGGAAUGCGAAAUGAGGUGGGUUGUGCUUACC